CAUGAUUUUACGUGUAGCUGCUUCAUAGAAAGGCGGUGAUUCUGUGAAUCUGUGUAAGAAUAAGAGUCAGUGCUGGAGAUCAGAUUCUGUUUCAGCAUGGAUGACACACAAACAUCCAGAGAUGAAGAUGUUUCUCCAGGAUGCAGUUCAGUUCAUCAGAAGAGAUCAGAAGCAGAGUCCAGCUGUGUGUCUAUGAGGAGUGACGCGUCUGUGAAUCAGCCGUUAGAUUAUAAGAGUGAAGAUACAAAGACUGAUCUCAGGUCUAAUAUUUCUGUAAAAGAUUAUUUGAUUAUGAUACAGAAUAC